UACGUAGGGUGCGAGCGUUAAUCGGAAUUACUGGGCGUAAAGCGUGCGCAGGCGGUUUGGUAAGUCAGAUGUGAAAUCCCCGGGCUCAACCUGGGAACUGCAUUUGAGACUGCCAAGCUGGAGUUUGGCAGAGGGGGGUGGAAUUCCACGUGUAGCAGUGAAAUGCGUAGAGAUGUGGAGGAACACCGAUGGCGAAGGCAGCCCCCUGGGCCAAUACUGACGCUCAUGCACGAAAGCGUGGGGAGCAAACAGG
rnacentral:rRNA from 1 species